GCAGAGCAUCCUACGGGAGGCAGCAGUGGGGAAUAUUGCACAAUGGGCGCAAGCCUGAUGCAGCCAUGCCGCGUGUAUGAAGAAGGCCUUCGGGUUGUAAAGUACUUUCAGCAGUGAGGAAGGUGGGUAUGUUAAUAGCAUACUCAUUUGACGUUAGCUGCAGAAGAAGCACCGGCUAACUCCGUGCCAGCAGCCGCGGUAAUACGGAGGGUGCGAGCGUUAAUCGGAAUUACUGGGCGUAAAGCGCAUGCAGGUGGUUUGUUAAGUCAGAUGUGAAAAGCCCCGGGGCUCAACCUCGGAAUUGCAUUUGAAACUGGCAAACUAGAGUACUGUAGAGGGGGUAGAAUUUCAGGUGUAGCGGUGAAAUGCGUAGAGAUCUGAAGGAAUACCGGUGGCGAAGGCGGCCCCCUGGACAGAUACUGACACUCAGAUGCGAAAGCGUGGGGAGCAAACAGGAUUAGAUACCCUGGUAA
rnacentral:rRNA from 1 species